GGCCUGGUAUUAUUAUUCUCAUAUGAUGA
rnacentral:sRNA from 1 species